GACGUAGGGGGCCAGCGUUGUUCGGAAUUACUGGGUGUAAAGGGUUCGUAGGCGGUGUGGCAAGUCGGGAGUGAAAUCUCUGGGCUCAACCCAGAGACUGCUUCCGAAACUGCUGUGCUGGAGUGUGGGAGAGGCGCGUGGAAUUGCAGGUGUAGCGGUGAAAUGCGUAGAUAUCUGCAGGAACACCCGUGGCGAAAGCGGCGCGCUGGACCACUACUGACGCUGAGAAACGAAAGCUAGGGAGCAAACAGG
rnacentral:rRNA from 1 species